UCUUAUUUUUUGAAAACACAAGCCCUCUCUCUUUCUCGCUCGAUUCUUGUUUUUCCCGCGAGAGCAAAUCCACAAAAUUAGCAGCAAAAUAGGUUAACAAUUACAAUCUGAAACUCCAAAAACAAAGAGAAGCUUAAAUUUGCAUAAUGGAAUGGAGGAACCACACUUAUGGAUAUCAGAUUUGACUAAUUCAACUGUGAUUUCCUCGACUAUCGGCAAGGGAGUUUGGAAGAAUCACUAUGUGUCCUUAAAAAGUACGUUAUCGAUGCAGUAGGGAAACAAGAGUGAGAGUCAUUGGAUCAAAUUCUUGUUCCGAUGAUUGAAAAUUUAUUGAUGUGGAAGGGUUCAAGAAGAUCAAACCAAGUUUUUGAUACUUCUUAAUUGGUUAUUCGAAGAUGAACUUGUUUUUGAAGCUCUUGCAGUUGAUCUGGUGACCAGUAUCAAGAGAAAAAAUGAUCUGUAUCGCUCUUGGAUGGUGCACAUUGAUACGUGCACCUGUAGAACAUGGGAUAACUAAGAAGCAAUCUUCAGAUAUUGGGGUGAAGCGACAGAAAUUAUUGAAGAUUUUUUCCUCUUCAAUUUUACAUCGUUCGUCUGUUGUUUGCAGUGGAAGGCUCAUCUCUGUGCAACUGUUCUUGUAGCAAAUUGCAGGACGGAUUUGAAUUGCCUACUCGUCUUUCAGUAGCUGUUGCUGAUUGCAUUCUUGUCUGCAGAUAAAGAAAAAGUACUUGCUAUAUCAACAGCUACUGCUAGUACUAAGAAGCCAGUGAAUUCAAUUUAUACGCUUCAACAAGGCACUGAAAACGUGGAGAUGGAAUUGGUACUUUAGAUUCAUUUGGAUGAACUCGUUACUCUUGUGCUGAAACUCUUGGCUGUGGAGAUACAGUUAAAACUGGAAUGGCUUUACUUUCUUCUUGUGGGAAACACUAUUGCGUGCUUCUGAGGUUGGAGGACUGCAGAUUGUCUAAGAGCUACAUGGAAAUGUUGAAUCAGUACAUAUCAGGCAUCCAGGAUGUAUGUAAAAUUGGUGGCUACAGGAGCAAGUGGAAUAGAUAAGGGUGAUGAUUCUUGUAUAUUGAGGGGUUCUGUGUUUGAUCGUCUCUGUCCACUACUCAUAAUCAGGCUUCUUCCAUCAAGAGUAUUUGAUGAUCUUAACUUCUCCAUUAUGUAUGGUCAUCUUCUCAAAAAAAGGCAUUGUGGAUGCAGUUUGAACCUUGCUGAGGGUUCAACAUGAUUUAAGAAAUGUCAGAAAAAGUAAUUGCAAAAGUUCCACUGGUUGCAAAUAAAUGGUACAGCAGACUCCAGCUUUGAGAACCGCUCAAGUAUUGCUGUUCUUCUUGUUAACAGAGCAUUUAAUAAAUAUGAACUUGAAGAUGUCAGAAAGCUUGCAGCCGAAUUAUGUGGUCGCCUUCAUCCUAAGAUUCUCUAUCCAAUGAUGUGAUCCCAGUUGGAGACUGCCGCCUGUUCUCGGGAUAUAAAAGAAUCUAUGUUUGCAAUUUGUACUUCCCUUUUGUUAAGGGGCAGUACUCCGUCUCUGCAUCCUGUUAUGCUUGAGAUAAGGAAAAUAUUGGAAAUGGUUCUGACUUGGCCGUCUUUGGAUGGCGAUGAAGUCUCUAAAGCACAACAUGGGUGCAUUGAUUGUUUAGCACUGAUGAUUUGUGCUGAGCUACAACUUCAGACUCGUCGAAGGAGUUCUCUAUGAGGAAAACUUAAACAGAUGAAAAGGAAAAGAGUUCUGAUGAAGAUCUCGAACCCGGAAAGAAGGACUGGCUAAAAGAAUUCUUCCUGUUCUCAGUAAUUCUGCUGCGGUGAUUACAUACUCAGACGUUAGAGCUGCAUGUAUACAAGUUCUAUUCUCAGCUGUGUAUCACCUCAAAUUGGCAAUUAUUUCUUACUCGUCCGAUCUACUUAGGCUUUCUAUAAAAGCACGUGAAGAAUGUUCAGAUAAGGAAAAGAUGGCAUGAGUGAAAUUGAUGGCAUCACUUAUGUCAAGUGGAGAGUAUUGGAAAUGGACUGCUUGAAGCAAACUCUCUUCUAACAAGUAUUUUGGUGAUGAAUACUGCUUCACCGCAAUUGAGACAAGUGCGUGAGAAGUUGUGAGUAUGCAUGAUGUCUCCGGUCGGAUGAUAUCUAUCCAACUUCUCUAGAUUGCACACCUGCAUAUAUAGUAAUUCGUUUAAAAUCUUUCAUCCAACAUGUUAUCUCUAGACUACUUGUUUAAUUGAAAGAAAGAAUGACUUUAGAGGUUCCUUGUCCUGAUUUACAAAAUGCUAUCCAGUGAAGAGCUUUAUUAACCGGAAGCCUCCCCAUAUCGGGUACUUCUUGAAGCCCUCCGGGGGAAUUCUUGACACGGUAGAUUAUGAGGAAUUCUCUUCAUGAAUUCGAUCCUUUUAGUGUAUUUACAUGAGCGUGACACCAGUAUUUGUCGUCAUUACGAGCUAGAGACACUACUUUGAAGUCAUCACUUCUGUAUUUCUAAAUAAAUCCAUAUUGUAAGCAGUUUGUCUUACCAAUAUAGAUGUAGUUAUGGCCGCAAGAUUGAUAACUUCAAAGUGGUGUCUCUGGCAAAAUGGCGAUAAAUAUUGGUGUUGGGUUCAUGUAUAUAUACUAGGAAGAUCGAAUUCAUGGAGAACAAUGAAGAAGAAUAUUUAUCAUUUAUCGUGUCAAUAAUUUCCUAGGCGGCUUCAAAAAGUCCCUGAUACGAGGCUGCUUCCUGUUAAUCGAGCUCUUCACUUGAUAGCAUUUCGUAAAUCAAAACAAAGAACCUCUAAGGUCAUUCUUCUUUUAAUUUUGAAAGAUAAAUAUUCAAAGAGAUGCAAUUUCCUAACAUGUUGGAUAAAAAUUACAAACAAAUUCACUUAACAUGUAGGUGUUCAAUCUGAUUGGUUGGAAAAUCCAUCUUUAUAAACUUCGUUUGGUUUUCACUGCUGCAUUCACUGGAAAUUUCCAAUUCGCGCUGGGAUUUCUUAGAUAAAUGAGAAGCCAAGUUUAUACUGGAUAUCGGGCUUUAGUGCCCAUGCCGACUGUGGUUAUUGGAUGCUUGGCUGCAUAUUUUGGUCAUGCAGAUAAGCAUGUAAUUCAAAUUGUGGGUCCUUUGGAAAAAGGAAUAAAUCCUUGUUCAAUUCAAUUCUUAAAUUUCGAUCCUAAAUAUCUAUCCUACACGUCAUGACAGGAUUUCUUGCUUUAGCCGUAGGUCCUUGUAAAUGACAUUUUAUUGUCCAAAUCUCUUCCUCCUACAUCAAUUGAACCUUUAGAAAUAGAUGAUGAUGAAGUU